CUUCCAUCUGUCUCAUCCUGGCACACCUUCCAUCUGUCUCAUCCUGGCACACUUCCAUCUGUCUCAUCCUGGCACACCUCCAUCUGUCUCAUCCUGGCACACUUCCACCUGUCUCAUCCUGGGACACUUCCAUCUGUCUCAUCCUGGGACACCUCCACCUGUCUCAUCCUGGGACACUUCCACCGGUCUCGCCCUGGGCAGUUGCACCAGCCUCUUCAAAGACACGCCCACUUGUGUCACCCUGGGCCUCUGUGUUUUUCUUGAGAGCUCCACUGGGCCUGUCUGCAAACAGGAAAACAUCUCUGUGCACCAACUUUGAAACGAAGCUGGUGUAGACGACAGGACGACUGGUCUGGCCUGGUUCAGAUGCCCUCCCCUGCACCUCGAUGCUUUGGGAGGAGCCGUGCCGCUUUCUCCACGGGACCACGGGACACACUGAAAAAACAGUCUGAGAGGAGUUGCUCAAAUUGCAAAAACAAAUUUGACAACAAUAACAUCACUUUUUUACGUUUCUCUGUCAAGCAUGUUUAAAUCUUACAAAGGUCACUUGAUUGUGGCCGAUGUGAGACCCUGCAUGUUUUAAUCAGGUUGAGGAAACAUGACUUUAUUAUUUCAUCUCUGGAAUUCUCCUCCCAAAAACCUUUGGAGGGAAAAUUCAAAUAUAACAGGACACAGGAGAGUUCCAGGAGCAGAGACACACAGUGUGGAGCAGGAGGAUUAUCAGAGCUGAUCUGGAGAGUCGUCUACAAACACAGAGUGACGUCCAGGUUCUGCUGGAGCUGAGGGGAAGUUCAUGAAUGUUACAGCUGAUGUUUCAGAAAAAAGGAAGAUGUUUGAAAACCAACAAAACACAGACCACAGAUGAACAAAGGUGAUGUGGCAUUAGGAGACUUUAUACCAGAUGCCCUCCUUGUUACUGUGUUUAGAGGAAGAAAAGCAGCACAUGAGACCAGAGCUUCACUGGAAUAAAUCUUCACACUGUCCAGCUCCAAAC